rnacentral:rRNA from 1 species
CAGGGCUUGACAUCCUCUGACCCCUCUAGAGAUAGAGGUUUCCCUUCGGGGACAGAGAGACAGGUGGUGCAUGGUUGUCGUCAGCUCGUGUCGUGAGAUGUUGGGUUAAGUCCCGCAACGAGCGCAACCCUUGAGCUUAGUUGCCAGCAUUGAGUUGGGCACUCUAAGCUGACUGCCAGUGACAAGCUGGAGGAAGGUGGGGAUGACGUCAAAUCAUCAUGCCCCUUAUGUCCUGGGCGACACACGUGCUACAAUGGCAGAUACAGAGGGAAGCCAACCGGCGACGGGGAGCUAAUCCCAGAAAAUCUGUCGUAGUCCGGAUUGGAGUCUGCAACUCGACUCCAUGAAGUCGGAAUCGCUAGUAAUCGCAGAUCAGCAUUGCUGCGGUGAAUACGUUCCCGGGUCUUGUACACACCGCCCGUCACACCAUGGAAGUGUAUUGCACCAGAAGCAGGUAGCCUGACCGCAAGGAGGGCGCCUACCACGGUGUGGUCCAUGACUGGGGUG